AUUUUUAUAUUAAAUAUGGGAGUUUAAAGCAGUGUUGCGGACAUUAUAUUAUUUUCGUUUUAAGUAUUUUCAUUUGUCCUGCACCUGCCAGAAGGUGGGAUGUGCACACAGUUACUUUUAUAAAAUUUGUAGGGGGCACCAAAGAGCUCCAUCCAUUCUGCUCCCCUCAGCUCCCUUUGUUGACCCAACCCAUCAUCCUGUCCUCCUACUUAGGAUGUUGUGUGCUGCUAUAACCCUCCGCUUCUGACAAUCACAAUGCACAGCCAAAGAAGGUCAUUGUCAGAAAACAGAUGGCAGCUCUUCAGGACUCCAUGCUAGCUGGCAUAGCUGAGACAGCAGGCCAUUCAUUCUUGAGAGAUAGAAGAUGACUGCCAGGGGGAUCCAGUCAUUGUGACAAUGAUAAUGUUAUAAAAAAUAUUUAUUAUAAAUAAUAAAUGUCUAUUUUUAUAUUAUUAUAUAUAAAUAAAUAAAUAAUUUAACUGCAA